UCCAGACUCCUACGGGAGGCAGCAGUGGGGAAUAUUGCACAAUGGGCGCAAGCCUGAUGCAGCCAUGCCGCGUGUAUGAAGAAGGCCUUCGGGUUGUAAAGUACUUUCAGCGGGGAGGAAGGCGAUAAGGUUAAUAACCUUGUUGAUUGACGUUACCCGCAGAAGAAGCACCGGCUAACUCCGUGCCAGCAGCCUCGGUCAUACGGAGGGUGCAAGCGUUAAUCGGAAUUACUGGGCGUAAAGCGCACGCAGGCGGGCGGUCAAGUCGGAUGUGAAAUCCCCGGGCUCAACCGGGGAACUGCAUUCGAAACUGGCAGGCUUGAGUCUUGGAGAGGGGGGUAGAAUUCCAGGUGUAGCGGUGAAAUGCGUAGAGAUCUGGGGGAAGACCGGUGGCGAAGGCGGCCCCCUGGACAAAGACUGACGCUGAGGUGCGAAAGCGUGGGGAGCAAACAGGAUUAGAUACCCCAGUA
rnacentral:rRNA from 1 species